UACGUAGGGGGCAAGGCGUUGUCCGGAAUCAUUGGGCGUAAAGAGCGUGUAGGCGGCUUCGUCAGUCCGUUGUGAAAGUCCAGGGCUCAACCCUGGAAUGCCGAUGGAUACUGCGGAGCUAGAGUCCGGAAGAGGCGAGUGGAAUUCCUGGUGUAGCGGUGAAAUGCGCAGAUAUCAGGAGGAACACCUAUGGCGAAGGCAGCUCGCUGGGACGGCACUGACGCUGAGACGCGAAAGCGUGGGGAGCAAACAGG
rnacentral:rRNA from 1 species